CCUACGGGAGGCAGCAGUGAGGAAUAUUGGUCAAUGGGCGGGAGCCUGAACCAGCCAAGUCGCGUGAGGGAAGACGGUCCUAUGGAUUGUAAACCUCUUUAGGCGGGGAGCAAUGCCGGGCACGCGUGCCCGGAGGGAGAGUACCCGCAGAAUAAGCAUCGGCUAACUCCGUGCCAGCAGCCGCGGUAAUACGGAGGAUGAGAGCGUUAUCCGGAUUGAUUGGGUUUAAAGGGUGCGUAGGCGGAUUUUUAAGUCAGCGGUAAAAUGUCCGGGCUCAACCCGGGCCGGCCGUUGAAACUGGGGAUCUUGAGUGGGCGAGAAGUAUGCGGAAUGCGUGGUGUAGCGGUGAAAUGCAUAGAUAUCACGCAGAACUCCGAUUGCGAAGGCAGCAUACCGGCGCCCGACUGACGCUGAGGCACGAAAGCGUGGGGAUCGAACAGGAUUAGAUACCCCAGUAGUC
rnacentral:rRNA from 1 species